AUACGUAGGUGGCGAGCGUUGUUCGGAUUUAUUGGGCGUAAAGGGUCCGCAGGGGGUUGAUUAAGUCUGAUGUGAAAUCUCACGGCUCAACUGUGAAACUGCAUUGGAGACUGGUCAACUAGAGCAUCGGAGAGGAGAGCGGAAUUCCUAGUGUAGCGGUGGAAUGCGUAGAUAUCAGGAAGAACACCAAAAGCGAAGGCAGCUCUCUGGACGAUUGCUGACCCUCAGGGACGAAAGCGUGGGGAGCAAACAGGAUUAGAUACCCUGGUAGUCCACGCUGUAAACGUUGUGAACUUGAUGUGGGAGGAUUUAACCCCUUCCGUGUCGGAGCUAACGCUUUAAGUUCACCGCCUGGGGACUACGGCCGCAAGGCUAAA
rnacentral:rRNA from 1 species